GCCUCCUGCUCCCACCCUGCACGGGUGGACGCCCCUUCUCUCUCCCUCUCCUCUCCUUCCCACAAGGUUUGGGCUCCCACAGCCUUCUGUGUUUCCUGCGUGUUCCUCCUCCCACAGCCCUGGUCCUGCGCCCUCGCCUACCCCCUUCCAAAGACCGAUUCGCUUCAUCGAGCCUUUGGGGUGCCUGUCAAUGUUUCCUUCCUCCCCUUCCCACCGAAUUCGCCCUCCCAGGCUUCACCCCCACCCCUAAUCCCCUGUCGUGGACUGGGUUGCCCCUCCCCACAGGCCCCUAAUGCCCUGAAGCUGUUCCCUACCCUGCGAAGGACUUCGGGGUCCUCAGCUGAGCCUCUGGUCUCCCCCAAACCCAAUCCUUCCAGCCUCUGUAAACGGCGACUCCUUCUUCUGCCCAUAAUCCUCAACGUCCUCCUUGAUGGUUUUCUUUCCCCAGCCCCCAUAUCAUUUCUGCCCCCAAAUCCCAUGUCUUUACCUGUAAGGUAUUUACAAAAUUCAACCGUUGGGCCACCAGCUUCUCUAACAGGCACCUCCUCCCUGCACCCCUGCCUUCUGCGCUCCCCACUAUCUGUUCCUCUUCGGUAGCCACUGGGAGCUCACGUGUCAGAUCUUGCCACUUCUGUGCUCCGAGCCUCCCAUGGCCCCCUCAGUAGCAGCCAGAAUCCUCAGGGGCCCUAGUGCUGGGGCUGCUGGCCUAGUAACUGUUUGCUGGGGCGUUGCAGGUGGUUAGGAGUUUGCAUCAGAUCGAAAAAUCAGAGUUCUGCCUCCUUCCUUGAGCAGUGUGCUCCUUGAAUCUGCUUGGUUUGUCAGUUUUGGACAGUGGGUAGAGAUUGGGGCAGUCCGGGAUGCCAGUACUAACUCAGAAAACUGACCCAGGUCUAUGUGCAUCCUGAGUUUGCAGAGCGUUUGAUGGAGACAUCUUGCAGUUGGCUCUGUGUCUUCCCCACUAGAAAGCCAGCUGCACCCGGCAGUGGUCUUCAUCUGUCUCAUCCACCGCUGAUUCAUUCCUACCAAGAACAGGACCUGGCACACACCCCACCUCUGAUGCACAGCUGGGAAGUUUGCAGUUUUUCAGCCGUCCCUACAGUGCUUUAGCGGGCAUCUUGAACAUGUGUCUUUGUAAAUCAGUAAUAUCAAAAGGAAGAAGAACUGAAUGACUAGUGAGAUUGAUCCCUUUGAGGAAAGACUAGAGCUUUGAAGGAAAAGGCUGUUACUGAGCAAACCCUUGGCUGCUCAGAAGGCCUGUACAAGAUAUGCAAUCCCAGUUGAAGAAAAAUUGUAUGAAAUUGCAUGAAAACAUUGGACCAGGACCAUGCCCUGUGAGUGUUAGUGUCAUGGGAGGCUAAAAUAGAAGGUACACCAGUGGCCUUCCCAACAACUAUAUCACCCAUGGUUCAUAGAUGGCAUUGCUUCCCAAACUCUAGUAUACAUGAUUGCCUGGUGGCCUCCCAAGAACUGCCAGACCCAGAUAGUUUUGUUGAUGAAUUCCACCCAACAGUUAAGGAAGAAAUGAUGCCAGUUCCACACUUUCAGAAAAUAAAAGGAAGACACACUUGAUUCAUUUUAUAAGGUCAGCAUUACCUGGAUUCUAAAACCAGACAAUGACAAGAAAACUACAGAGUGAUAUCCCUCAUGAAUAUAAACACAGAUAUUCUCAUUAAAAUAUCAGCAAAUUGAA